rnacentral:ncRNA from 1 species
UAUCUUCGGGGCAGGGUGUAAUUCCCUACCGGCAGUAUAGCCUGCGAGCCAUUUGGUUGAUUCGGUGUGAUUCCGAAGCCGACGGUAAAGUCCGGAUGAAAGAAGAUA